rnacentral:rRNA from 1 species
CCUACGGGAGGCAGCAGUGGGGAAUCUUAGACAAUGGGSGCAASCCUGAUCUAGCCAUGCCGCGUGAGUGAUGAAGGCCUUAGGGUCGUAAAGCUCUUUCGCCWGGGAUGAUAAUGACAGUACCUGGUAAAGAAACCCCGGCUAACUCCGUGCCAGCAGCCGCGGUAAUACGGAGGGGGUUAGCGUUGUUCGGAAUUACUGGGCGUAAAGCGCGCGUAGGCGGAUUAGAAAGUUGGAGGUGAAAUCCCGGGGCUCAACCUCGGAACUGCCUCCAAAACUGCUAGUCUAGAGUUCGAGAGAGGUGAGUGGAAUUCCGAGUGUAGAGGUGAAAUUCGUAGAUAUUCGGAGGAACACCAGUGGCGAAGGCGGCUCACUGGCUCGAUACUGACGCUGAGGUGCGAAAGUGUGGGGAGCAAACAGGAUUAGAUACCCUGGUAGUCCACACCGUAAACGAUGAAUGCCAGUCGUCGGGUAGUAUACUAUUCGGUGACACACCUAACGGAUUAAGCAUUCCGCCUGGGGAGUACGGUCGCAAGAUUAAAACUCAAAGGAAUUGACGG